rnacentral:rRNA from 1 species
GUUUUCGAACAUUCGAUUUAUUGUGCCGCUGUUCCGAUCGGGUCCGUUCCUCUGGUUCGGGUCCACUCGGAUGGCUACACAUGUACCUUUCCAACUUUAAACCAUACCAUAAUCAAAUAAAAGGCGAUUGCGUUCACUCGCGUCGCCGAUUGCAUAAUGCAAGACAUUUAAACACUUUCAGCGAUGGAUGUCUUGGCUCCCACAACGAUGAAGAACGCAGUGAAAUGCGAUAGCUAGUGCGAAUUGCAGACUUAGUGAAUCAUCGAAAUUUUGAACGCAUAUUGCACUACCAGGAUAUGCCUGGUAGUAUGUUUGUUGGAGUGUCUGUUUGUACUACUCACGUGCAUUGCUGUAACGGCGACGCACGUGGUGUUUGGGUGUUGUCUCGGUUCCGAGGCACUACUCGAAGUGUAGGCUAGUCGAUGUUGAAUUCAUUUUCUAGUACAUUUCACCGGAUGGUAGUAAUGCCAACUUGUGAGUGUGAAGAUGAUGUGAUCGUUGACGAACACUACUUCUACUUCAGAUCUCCAAUCAAGCAGGAGGACCCGCUGAAUUUAAGCAUAUCAAUAAGCGG